UCAGCAGCCCCCCGUAAUACGUAGGGGGCGAGCGUUGUCCGGAAUUAUUGGGCGUAAAGCGCGCGCAGGCGGUUCCUUAAGUCUGAUGUGAAAGCCCACGGCUCAACCGUGGAGGGUCAUUGGAAACUGGGGGACUUGAGUGCAGGAGAGGAGAGCGGAAUUCCACGUGUAGCGGUGAAAUGCGUAGAGAUGUGGAGGAACACCAGUGGCGAAGGCGGCUCUCUGGCCUGCAACUGACGCUGAGGCGCGAAAGCGUGGGGAGCAAACAGGAUUAGAUACCCUGGUAGUCCACGCCGUAAACGAUGAGUGCUAAGUGUUAGAGGGGUCACACCCUUUAGUGCUGCAGCUAACGCGAUAAGCACUCCGCCUGGAGAGGUAUGUU
rnacentral:rRNA from 1 species